rnacentral:rRNA from 1 species
UACAGAGGGUGCGAGCGUUGUCCGGAAUCAUUGGGCGUAAAGCGCGUGUAGGCGGUCCGGUAAGUCCGCUGUGAAAGUCGGGGGCUCAACCCUCGAAUGCCGGUGGAUACUGUCGGGCUAGAGUGCGGAAGAGGCGAGUGGAAUUCCUGGUGUAGCGGUGAAAUGCGCAGAUAUCAGGAGGAACACCAAUUGCGAAGGCAGCUCGCUGGGACGUUACUGACGCUGAGACGCGAAAGCGUGGGGAGCAAACAGG